UACGAAGGGGGCUAGCGUUGUUCGGAAUCACUGGGCGUAAAGGGCGCGUAGGCGGCGCGACAAGUCAGGCGUGAAAGCCCCGGGCUCAACCCGGGAAUUGCGCUUGAUACUGUCGUGCUUGAGGCCGGGAGAGGAUGGCGGAAUUCCCAGUGUAGAGGUGAAAUUCGUAGAUAUUGGGAAGAACACCGGUGGCGAAGGCGGCUAUCUGGACUGUGAUUGACGCUGAGGCGCGAAAGCGUGGGGAGCAAACAGG
rnacentral:rRNA from 1 species